GAUGAAGAACGCAGCGAAAUGCGAUAAGUAGUGUGAAUUGCAGAAUUCAGUGAAUCAUCGAAUCUUUGAACGCACAUUGCGCCCGGUAGUAUUCUGCCGGGCAUGCCUGUUCGAGCGUCAUUUCAACCAUCAAGCCCCAGCGCUUGUGUUGGGGGCCUGCGGCUGCCGCAGCCCCCCAAAAGCAGUGGCGGGCUCGCUAUCACACCGAGUGCAGUAGUUCAUCUUCUCUCCGGUCUUGUGAGGCGGGUUCCGGCCGUGAAACACCCCACUACAUUCAAGGUUGACCUCGGAUCAGGUAGGAAUACCCGCUGAACUUAAGCAUAUCAAUAAGCGGAGGA
rnacentral:misc_RNA from 1 species